rnacentral:tRNA from 1 species
ACCUAGCUAGCCCAGUCAGUAGAGCAUGAGACUCUUAAUCUCAGGGUCGUGGGUUCGAGCCACACGUUGGGCA